rnacentral:misc_RNA from 1 species
GAUGAAGAACGUAGCGAAAUGCGAUAAGUAAUGUGAAUUGCAGAAUUCAGUGAAUCAUCGAAUCUUUGAACGCACAUUGCGCCCGCUAGUAUUCUGGCGGGCAUGCCUGUCCGAGCGUCAUUUCAACCCUCAAGCCCCCGGGCUUGGUGUUGGGGAUCGGCGAGCCUCCGCGCCCGCCGUCCCCUAAAUCUAGUGGCGGUCUCGCUGUAGCUUCCUCUGCGUAGUAGCACACCUCGCACUGGGAAACAGCGCGGCCACGCCGUUAAACCCCCAACUUCUGAACGUUUGACCUCGGAUCAGGUAGGAAUACCCGCUGAACUUAAGCAUAUCAAUAAGCGGAAGA